UACGAAGGGGGCUAGCGUUGCUCGGAAUCACUGGGCGUAAAGAGCGCGCAGGCGGUCGUUUAAGUCGAAUGUGAAAGCCCCCGGCUCAACUGGGGAGGGUCAUUCGAUACUGAUCGACUUGAAGGCAGGAGAGGGAAGUGGAAUUCCGGGUGUAGUGGUGAAAUGCGUAGAUAUCCGGAGGAACACCAGUGGCGAAGGCGACUUCCUGGCCUGUUCUUGACGCUGAGGCGCGAAAGCUGGGGGAGCAAACGGG
rnacentral:rRNA from 1 species